CAGUCGCCGCGGGAAUACGUAGGGUGCGAGCGUUAAUCGGAAUUACUGGGCGUAAAGCGUGCGCAGGCGGUGCUGCAAGACCGAUGUGAAAGCCCCGGGCUUAACCUGGGAACUGCAUUGGUGACUGCAGCGCUGGAGUAUGGCAGAGGGGGGUGGAAUUCCACGUGUAGCAGUGAAAUGCGUAGAGAUGUGGAGGAACACCGAUGGCGAAGGCAGCCCCCUGGGCCAAUACUGACGCUCAUGCACGAAAGCGUGGGGAGCAAACAGGAUUAGAUACCCGCGUAGUCCCUGUCUCUUAUAC
rnacentral:rRNA from 1 species